UACGAAGGGGGCUAGCGUUGCUCGGAAUCACUGGGCGUAAAGGGUGCGUAGGCGGGUCUUUAAGUCAGGGGUGAAAUCCUGGAGCUCAACUCCAGAACUGCCUUCGAUACUGAGAGUCUCGAGUCCGGGAGAGGUGAGUGGAACUGCGAGUGUAGAGGUGGAAUUCGUAGAUAUUCGCAAGAACACCAGUGGCGAAGGCGGCUCACUGGCCCGGUACUGACGCUGAGGUGCGAAAGCGUGGGGAGCAAACAGG
rnacentral:rRNA from 1 species